GACGAACGCUGGCGGCGUGCCUAAUACAUGCAAGUUGAGCGAUGAAGAUUGGUGCUUGCACCAAUUUGAAGAGCAGCGAACGGGUGAGUAACGCGUGGGGAAUCUGCCUUUGAGCGGGGGACAACAUUUGGAAACGAAUGCUAAUACCGCAUAACAACUUUAAACAUAAGUUUUAAGUUUGAAAGAUGCAAUUGCAUCACUCAAAGAUGAUCCCGCGUUGUAUUAGCUAGUUGGUGAGGUAAAGGCUCACCAAGGCGAUGAUACAUAGCCGACCUGAGAGGGUAGUCGGCCCAAUUGGGACUGAGACACGGCCCAAACUCCUACGGGAGGCAGCAGUAGGGAAUCUUCGGCAAUGGACGAAAGUCUGACCGAGCAACGCCGCGUGAGUGAAGAAGGUUUUCGGAUCGUAAAACUCUGUUGGUAGAGAAGAACGUUGGUGAGAGUGGAAAGCUCAUCAAGUGACGGUAACUACCCAGAAAGGGACGGCUAACUACGUG
rnacentral:rRNA from 1 species